GAGCUUUGGCAGCACAUAUACCAAAAUUGGAAUGAUACAGAGAAGAUUAGCAUGGCCCCUGCACAAGGAUGACACACAAAAUUUAUAAUAAUAAUAAUAAUAAU